rnacentral:rRNA from 1 species
UAUACAUGCAAGUCGAGCGAGCGGAACCAACAGAUUUACUUCGGUAAUGACGUUGGGAAAGCGAGCGGCGGAUGGGUGAGUAACACGUGGGGAACCUGCCCCUAAGUCUGGGAUACCAUUUGGAAACAGGUGCUAAUACCGGAUAAUAAAGCAGAUCGCAUGAUCAGCUUUUGAAAGGCGGCGUAAGCUGUCGCUAAGGGAUGGCCCCGCGGUGCAUUAGCUAGUUGGUAAGGUAACGGCUUACCAAGGCGACGAUGCAUAGCCGAGUUGAGAGACUGAUCGGCCACAUUGGGACUGAGACACGGCCCAAACUCCUACGGGAGGCAGCAGUAGGGAAUCUUCCACAAUGGACGCAAGUCUGAUGGAGCAACGCCGCGUGAGUGAAGAAGGUUUUCGGAUCGUAAAGCUCUGUUGUUGGUGAAGAAGGAUAGAGGCAGUAACUGGUCUUUAUUUGACGGUAAUCAACCAGAAAGUCACGGCUAACUAC